rnacentral:SRP_RNA from 1 species
GCCGAGCCUGGUAGCGAUGGCUUGUUACCCAAGCGGGGGCAUUGAGGUGGUGGAAUGAAUGUGAGAGCCAAGCGGGUGGGGUGUGGACGUGUAAAUCUCGGCUUGCCCGUUCCAAGUCUUGCAGCUGAACCAUGCGGUCUGGGCGAAGGCUCGGGUCGCAUUGGAUCUUAAAGCGGAGGGCACAGCGUCAGGCUGGCUUCACAGAGCAGCGAAUACCUCCCGCUCUCGACGGUGGAAGGAUAACAAGUCGGCGCACGCCUCACCCAUAUACCCACUUGGCUAAUACUGAUCAAACCAUCACUUUU